UGUGGCUGAGUCAUCAAGGGCAGGGGAAGGGGGAGACUCCAUAAAACCUAGUUCUGAAGCUAAGCAAAGGUGAGGACCAACACUGGUUCCAGCCUUAGGCUGGCCUUGCCAAGUCCAUUACUGAACAAGGACACAGGGCCUUUGAGAAAGCCCUGGGUCGCUCUGGCUCCCACAAAACAUGAUUCCUUCUUGCAUCAGCUCUCCCCUUGAUGUCAUGUCCUGAUCUCCCUGGAUGGUGGACUAUAAGGAAUCCCUGAUCAAGUCUCUCAUAACGGAGAGGUGUUUCUGAUGUUAUCAGAAGGGAACAAAGCUGUCAAUCCUGCCUAGACAGUUCUUAAAGAUUCUAGGGUGGUUCCUGUGGAUGAAAGAUCCUGAAGAGAAGGGGUACCUUACAAGGAAUAUUCUACAAUUCUGGAUAACUGACUAGAACUUCAGUGACUGCAAUAUAUUGGAAUGCUGCAGGUCAAGAGCCCAAACAUAAUUUAUCUUUUGCUGUCAUUAUCCCUCUUAUUAGCCAUUCCUUUCCCACCUCUGUGUCUGACCUGACAUCCUUGUGACUACCAGGUCAAAUCUUUUGGUCUAUCAUCUGGGAAGACCACCUGCUUCCACCAACCCAAAGGCUGAUAGCAGAGGUUUCCCAACUUUGCUGUAGUU